CAAUAGCGUAUAUUUAAGUUGCUGCAGUUAAAAAGCUCGUAGCUGGAUUUCGGGUGGGAAUGGCCGGUCCGCCGUUUCGGUGUGCACUUGCUACGCCCACCUUGCUGCCGGGGACGUGCUCUUGAGUUCACGCUCGGGACACGGAGUCGGCGAGGUUACUUUGAGUAAAUUAGAGUGUUCAAAGCAGGCCUACGCUCUGAAUACAUUAGCAUGGAAUAACACGAUAGGACUCUGGCCUAUCUUGUUGGUCUGUAGGACCGGAGUAAUGAUUAAGAGGGACAGUCGGGGGCAUUCGUAUUUCAUUGUCAGAGGUGAAAUUCUUGGAUUUAUGAAAGACGAACUACUGCGAAAGCAUUUGCCAAGGAUGUUUUCAUUAA
rnacentral:rRNA from 1 species